rnacentral:rRNA from 1 species
GACGAACGCUGGCGGCGUGCUUAACACAUGCAAGUCGAACGGAAAGGCCCUGCUUUUGUGGGGUGCUCGAGUGGCGAACGUGUGAGUAACACGUGAGUAACCUGCCCUUGACUUUGGGAUAACUUCAGGAAACUGGGGCUAAUACCGGAUAGGAGCUCCUGCUGCAUGGUGGGGGUUGGAAAGUUUCGGCGGUUGGGGAUGGACUCGCGGCUUAUCAGCUUGUUGGUGGGGUAGUGGCUUACCAAGGCUUUGACGGGUAGCCGGCCUGAGAGGGUGACCGGCCACAUUGGGACUGAGAUACGGCCCAGACUCCUACGGGAGGCAGCAGUGGAGAAUAUUGCACAAUGGGCGGAAGCCUGAUGCAGCAACGCCGCGUGCGGGAUGACGGCCUUCGGGUUGUAAACCGCUUUCGCCUGUGACGAAGCGUGAGUGACGGUAAUGGGUAAAGAAGCACCGGCUAACUACGU